AGGCAAAGUGCUCUGGCAUUUGCUGAGCUGGUCUGUGCUCCUUAAGAGCUCCAGUGUGCCCCAGUCCUGCAGGAUGAGGCCAGUCACACAAAACCCCAACUUCAAGGACAUCAAUCCUGCCCAGGUUAUGUAAGGGCCCUUUCCUGCUUUCCAGACCCUUUGCCUCACCAUAUGCUGUGAAAUAGGAUUAACCCGAAGGAAGGAAACGCAGCAAUUUCCGGCCUGAAAAGCCAUUCUGAUGAAACCGUCCACGAGCAGAGAUUGACACAAUUUACAUCAAAAAGGAUAAAAAUAUCAGCUGCUAUCUCUGCAUUGAUCGCUCUGGAUCAAAUAGAAGGAUGUUUGAGAAAUACUCAGCAGAGCAAACUACGAAAAGUCAAAUUCUAACCAAACAUCUCGUUGACUCGGCACUGGAGUGUGUGUGUGAGGAGGUUCAGCUGCAGAACACAGAGAUGUAGUGCCUGACUUCUGUUCAGAUGGGAAUCACUUAUUUGUGUGCUUUGAGCUUCCUUUAUGUUUCCAGGAGUAGUUAAACCUGGGAAGUUUGAGGCAUGUAGGACCUGUGAUCUGAGCAGAGCUGAGGAUCAAAGGCUGAAUCAGAAAAGAUUUCUGCAAGUUUUCCUUCAAGUCUUCUUGCCUCCCUCACGAGCUGGAUCAGUUACAAUUUUGGGUGUGGACAUCAGAUUGAUACCAUUACAUUGCCUCUCCCUGCAUAUUUCACAUAAUAGUGUU